rnacentral:rRNA from 1 species
AUGCAAGACUACUUCGCGGAGAAUCCAACAUAUCCACCGCACCUCUUCCGGAGAAGGUACCAAAUGCGCCGAUUCCUCUUUGUGAAAAUUGUUCAAGCUUGCGAAGCAAUUUUUUGGUAUUUUACUCAAAGAAGAAAUGUCGCUGGCUUGAAGGGAUUUAGUGCAUAUCAAAAAAUCUCGGCAGCUAUGCGGGUGAUUGCAUAUGGCGUAGGUUUGCUAAAGUGA